rnacentral:tRNA from 1 species
GCCAGCAUGGCAUAGUGGUUUGUGUGUUGGACUACAACUCUGGAGGCCAGGGUUCAAUUCCCAACUCAGCCA